GUCGUCAUCCCUGAUUCACUCUCUCUCUCUCUCUCUCUCUCUCUCUCUCUCUUUCACUCACUUCUCUUCUUCCUCAAGACCCUCGACUACUCCCUCUUUCUCUCUCACUUUCUUUCUCCUUUUCUAGCACAGACCCAGUCUUGAGGUCCCCAACUGCAUCUCUGCCCCUCCCUUACUCUCACUUUCUUUCUCCAUUCUUUCAUCCCUCCCAAAUUCCUAUCUCUAUCUCUCUCUCUCUCUCCACUUUCUCUGAAACUCUCUCUCUAUCCCUUAUCUACUUACCCUCGAGGAGGGUCGGACUUGCGGAGGGUCGUGGGUCGCAGAUGGGGCUAUGGACGGGGUUGGAGGGCUCGAGCUCGUGGAAGGUCAUGGGUGGCUCGGUCUCGCGGAGAGGUCAUGGGUGGUUUGGUCUUGCAGAGAGGUCGUGGGUGACGGGGAAGAGGUGUGGGUCUGGCCUAGUGGUCUUCCUUGUGCCAGAUUCAGGCUCAUUGGCGGGGAUGGGUAUUGGGCAAAUGGUGGGGGCUCGAGGGCCGGUCAUCGGCAAAUGGCGCAAACAACAAGGGCUUGGGGGUCUUGGGAAAAUGGCACAAAAGAUGGGCUCAGGGUCGUGGGUGGCUCGGUCUCAUGGAGGGGGUGGGUGGCUCGGUCUCAUAGAGGGGUCAUAGGUGGCUCGGUCUCGCAGAGGUGUCGUGGGUGGCUCGGUCUCCCAGAGGGGUCUUGGGUGGUAGGUCUGGGUAUGGGGUUGUGGCUGUUUCUCUCUGUGUUAACGAAGAAGAUGAAGAAUGAAGGACCAGUGGCCCCGAAGAUCAACAAGAUGAAAAUGGAUAGGUGAAGAGUUCAAUUUCAGCUCUGUCACCUACGAUGCAUUUCAUGGGUCAAUUCGAGAGGAGCUUGACAACCUUAAGGAUAUAUUUAUGAUGUUUUGUCAUUAGUGAGGUGAUUUGAUCAACCACAAAGGUGUAAGUUGUUCAUUAGUAUGUGUGUUGCUCAAGGGAACUUGGAGACUUUGGAGUUUGAGAGAGGUUGAUGAGAAAUAUGGUAUUCCAGCCACUACAAAUAUUGAAAUAUGCCUUUCUUUAGUUGUAAGUGUGCUUCAUUUGUAUUACAAAUGGUCUACCUUUUGACUCAUUUGAAUUUUUGUGUAAUAUUCUAUUCAUUUAAUUUGUUUAAAUUUGUUUUUAUGUUUCUAUAUAAAUGUAAUAUCAAUUUUAAUAAUA